AAGUCGUAACAAGGUUUCCGUAGGUGAACCUGCGGAAGGAUCAUUAUCGAAAUUAUUGGUGAGGGUUGUAGCUGGCCUUUCGAGGCAUGUGCACGCUUGAGCCCUUAAUCCACUUUACACCUGUGCACUUAAUGUAGGUCGCCCUUAAAAAAGGUGACCUAUGUCUUAUCAUCAACCCAUCGUAUGUCUCAUAGAAUGUAAUCGAUAUCCUCGCCCUAAAAAAGCGUUGAUAAACUUAUACAACUUUCAACAACGGAUCUCUUGGCUCUCGCAUCGAUGAAGAACGCAGCGAAAUGCGAUAAGUAAUGUGAAUUGCAGAUUUUCGGUGAAUCAUCGAAUCUUUGAACGCACCUUGCGCUCCUUGGUAUUCCGAGGAGCAUGCCUGUUUGAGUGUCAUUAAAUUCUCAACUCCAAGGGUUUCACGACCUUUCGGAGAUUGGACUUGGAGGUGCUGGCCGCAUAUUGGUCGGCUCCUCUCAAAUGCAUCAGCGGAAUUCAACCUUUGGCUUCCGGAUGUCAGUGUGAUAAUCAUGUUGCGCUGUCGUUUGAUCCCUCAGAGUCCGCUUAUAAUGGUCUUCGGACAAAAUCAUCAUCAAAUUUGACCUCAAAUCAGGUAGGACUACCCGCUGAACUUAA
rnacentral:rRNA from 1 species